rnacentral:lncRNA from 1 species
GGGAAUACACUAUGGAUUUCUCAAUUACCCUAUCAUUUACCCAUCUCACUUCACUUUGUCGCGUUAUUUUGCCCUUUGUCUCUCUCUAAAUUUCGUAUCCCUCUCCAUACAACACACAAAUCUACAAUCGAUCGACCUAGCCCUCUUCUACAAGAUCCUUUUGGCGCACGAUUAAGGUUCAAUUCAGGUAAUAAUCCUAUGCAAUCGGUCAACCUAUCCCUUUUAGGUAACGAUUUCGAACAUGAUAUUUUCUUCAAUUUGUAAAUUAUACCUGCUGAAUUUUUUGUACGAGUAUAUGGUUGUAUGAAUCUGCCCUAACAGUUUCCUUCAUCUUGCCAAAUUAGCUCUCUACCUUGUUUGAAUCGUAGUUUUUUUUUCUCUUCAUCUGUCUUUAAUAGUAGAGAAUUUUGAACUUUGUUGUUCAUUAUUUUUAGGGCUUUUUAGAACUUUUUGAACAUUCAGUGUGGGGUAGGAUUUUGAAUUUUGUUCAAAGUGUUGUUGCCUUUAAUUUACUACUGUUUUUAAGGUAAAUAUCUUACUAAUGUGUACUUGUUUCUUUAAUUUACUGAGGGUUUAAAAAUUAUCUUAGUGUUGGUUUUGGCUUCUUAAAUAUUGCAAGCUAGGUGUUUGUUAAAAUAACUUAAAGAAUCAAAAAUCUAGCAUCUUGUCAUUUCUAUGUGCAUAUACUUUUUAGGAUGCAAGUAAGAAAAUCUGCUGUAAUGCCACAAAAUUAAUAAAUUUAUUAUGCUGACAGAUAAAAUGAUGAUGUUCAAUGUCCACUAUAAUUUGGGGCAAUUUUUUUUAACUAUUAGUCUGUAGGAAUAUCUUAAAAUUGAAAUUAUAGCUCCGCAAACUUGCUCCAUAUGAUUCUUGCACUCUAAAACGCUUUUGUAGAGGCCAUGGUGGUAUUUAAAGGCAAUGUAUAUUUGAGGAGCCAAGCCCACAACCUUCUUACAAUAUAAGCCCGGAUGGUCAUCCACAUGAUAGAGAAUAUUACCUCAUAUCCCUUUUUGUUGUUCCUAGGCAUUUUUAUUUGAUAUAGUGCAUGUUGACAGUUGUGAUAUGGUGCAUGUUGAUAGUUGUGAAUGUAUUAAAAUAAUUGACAAAGUUGGAUUGCCUGUUUGAUGCACUAGUAAAGUGUCUUGUCUGCUCUAUUCGAGGAAAUAAAAUCUUCAAUAUAUGUGAAAUAGUCAGAGACUCGGAACAAACAAGAAUCUCCCCUGCAUUUUAGCUGAUAACAGGACUUCUUUUCUUAAAUAGUUAGCUAGCCUUGUUUUCAAGGUCUAUGCGUCCCAUAAUCUUUAGUAUCGUUAUUAAUGUGUGCUUGUUUAUAAAAUUUUUCAACAUUAUAAUAUUGAAGCAAGCGAGCCUACUAAUCUGCAACUUUGACUUAUUGUUUAUACCAUACUCUGUUUUUUCCAAGUCAUUUUGUAAUGAACCAAAGACCGCUGGAAGGAUGUUUUAUGAUCUUGAGCUGUUGAAAAUUGUUCUUUCUGAAGAAGCUUGUUAAUAAUGUUGUUCUAUUGCUUACCUUUAUAAGUUUUGUGGUAUAUCUUUAAAUUAUCUGGUAAUUAGUCACCUUUUUUCAAGCAGAUUAUACCAUGAAUUUUUGAAAUCUUUUUGACAGAGUCGACCGAACCCCAUUGUCAGUUCGUCAUAGCCGCCUCAUUUAUAUUUCUGAUUUUGCUAUAGACAUUUUCAGUGUUAGUUCAACUUAUCUUAAGCAAUCCAAACUAUUCCCCAAUAAGUGUUUGAUUUCUAAUAUCCUAAUAUUUUGUUUCUGUUCAACUGAUUUUGUAGUAGCAGUUGAUAGAUACUUUGAAGGCCCAGUUUGUUGCUUACCAAGUACUUCAUAAGGAGUUAGCAGCGAAGUUGACCAAAUUGACAGAAUUAGUUGAGAAUCAACAGGUACAAAAAGGGCAAGUUAUUGAUGUUGAAGUUUAUGUUUUUAUUUCAAUUUUGUUCAUUAAAAAUUAUUAAUAACACAAAAAUUGGAUAAUAAACUUUAGUUUCCUCUCCAGCUUUUUAAUUAUUUUUUGAAAUUACUAUCCUUUUUUAUUUUCUUAGUCUUGAGGGUGAGUAUAGUUUUUUUUGGAACAAUGAAACUUGGCUUUAAGGCACUUCCUAGCAAUAUCAAGGCACUUUUAGCUGCACAUGAUGAUUCAUCAAGAAUUGACCAGUGGAGCAUUUCAGGCCUUCGGACACCAAAGUAUAAUAUUUCAACUCUAAAAAUGAAGCUUGCAGAAGAUGAUAACUUGGAUGUGAACUAUGCUGAUGAUAUAAUUUUAUUUAAUUGUUGAAAAUAAAAAUUUUAUUUUAAAUAAUAAUUUGUAUGUUAUUUGCAAUACAAAAUAUAAGACUUUUUUUGUUGAAUAGAUCACAAAUGCUAGAGUGACACUUCUUUGUUCUGCAAUUUGUUUAUUUAAAUUUGUUCUUAGUUAAUUUAUGACAUCCUAAAAUUCAAAUUAUAAUGUCAAUUUAUUUAUUGUUUUCAAAUAUUAAUUUUAUUUUUAAAAUACUUCUUAAAUAAUAUAAAUAUCAAUAUCAAUGUAAAAGGUUAAACGAUGUCGUGGGUUAACAGCGGUGUGAUACAAAUUGUUUUUUUCCUCUUUCUUAAAUAGUCCAAAUCUGUCGUUUGCUUUUUUGUUUCAGAUAGAAAGACAAGUUCAUUCUCUUUUUAUUCUUCAAUCGAUCCCACCGCCUAGCUUCGCUCGCCUCUCGUGUCCUCCAUCACAGGUUCAUGUCCCUUUUCUCUCUCCUCUAUCUCAUACAUCUAUCCUCUGAAAUUGAUUUUCAUUUUCUAGGAUAAUUUUUUUCUUUUGCUGCUCUCUUUCAAUUCAGUAAGACAUCUAAUAUCAGUUUAUUUAUUUGUAAUUUUUCACUUGGUUCAUCCAUUUGUGCUCAAUCAAAUCUGAUUUUGGUUAUAUGUGGUGAUUUUGGUGCUCAGUCAAUUUUAAUUUUGGAUAUAUGUGCACCAAAUGUUUGAUGUAUUGUCCAUCUGUUGCACUAGCUUGUACAUUAUAGCUACAAAUUUAAUGUCAGCAUAACCCUCCCAAUUUUAAAUUUAAGUAUAAACUUAAUCCAUUUCAUUUGGAUACUCUGAACCAUGUUUUGGAAUUGAUUUGUCUAAUGUGAACUUUUAUUUGUAAAACUCUAUAUGCCCAAACUUAAUUAUGAAGCAGACGUUUGGUUGACCAUAAAUUUGUAAUUGUUUCAGCUUUUUAAAUGUAAAUAUCUAAUUCUUUGUUAUUAUAUUAUUAAUUAUACAACUUUAACAUUCUUUAACAUUAUAUACACCCGGAGAACUUGAAUGGUGCAUAACAUGUACCUUUUUGUUUAAAUGCCAAAAAGAGGGUAGACACCUAUAUUUUAACAAACUAUGUUUUACUAAUUAAGCUUAAUCUCUAAUUGGAGUUGGGUCCAGUUUACAAUUUAUAAAGUCUUUCGAAAACAAAAGGUGAGGUGACUAAUGUUUUUUUAACAUUUAUAAUUGCAAGCUUCUUAAGUUAAUUAACAUAUGGAUUUUAAUUUUGGAAAGAGGAAUGAGUUUUUGGCAAUAUCCUGUUAGCAAAUUAAUGUGUAUUCAUGCUUUCCUCUUAAAUUUUUCUUUUUAAUUGUUGUUUACUAAUUGAAUUACUAUACAGAAUGAGUUGAGAUUUCAGUUGUUCUGGUCUCCCAUUCAUUGUCUCUCUGUCUCUUGUAAGUUGCGACGUAGAACCAUUUUGUUAGCUCUAUAAAGUUCGUAAGUGAUGUUUCUCAUUUUUCAGGUUGUUGGUUAUUAUAGACUGAGCAGCCUUAAUAGUUCUAUUUUGCUUAGUGUAUGCUCUUUUUUUUGCUACGAUUACGUCUUUAUUCUCAUGUCGAAGUGUACAUUGGAAUGAUGUCAAACACUUUGAUGAGUGAAUAUGCAUUACAUUCAACACAAGUACAUGCAUAAAGUAAAAUAUCCGGCAAUUUUAUUAUUAUGUAGAGAAUAUUUUUGUCAUGAUAGCAACUGCUAAAAUAGAGUAUGCAUGUGCUCUCAUCUCAUCAGCAUCGUAUCAAGCUUUUUUUAUUAUUUAUAAUUCUAGUGACUUUAUAGGUCAGUGUGACAUACCCAUAUUCAACUGUGCUACAACAUAAUCUCACGACUAUAAACACAUGAUGAGUUGAAACUAGAAUAGAAAAUAAUCAAUACCGGGAAAAAUUGUAUGGUUAGCUACAAUCCAAUUUCAGAUCAAAGCUGAUGUGAAUGUGUAUUUCUCUCAAUCAGAUAUAUUCCUUCCUCUCUGCAUUAUGGAACUCUGUUUAUCUCUAUUUUUCUCGAAUUAAUUACUAUUUUUCCCAUCUUUGCACUAGAAGGGAUCAACGAUCUGGUGGGUUGAUGGUUUUUUUUAAAGAUUGUGUAGAAAGUUCAUUAACCCUCUAUUCUAAUGUUUUUAAUUGAUUUGAUGGGUUACUCCCUGCUCAACUUAGCUUUGGGCUUUAUGUUUAUGCCGAGUAGAACGUCAAGUACUCUCAAUUUAUGUUCUUUAUCUUUUACAGAUCUUAUUCUCUACAUGCAUGUUGGGUCGUAGUUCUUUGCAGUUCAUUUAAUUGGAGUGUACCAAUAUUUUUAUUUUUGUAAACUGUGUAGAGGAUUCCUAGUUUGACUUAAACAUGUUUAAGCAUCAACUUUAGUUUAAGCCUUUAAUGUCAUAAUUCCCAACUUUCAAGUGUCUUUUUGCAAGUUACUCAACAUUAAAGCAAUUGAAGUGCACUUAAUUAUUCAUUUACUAUUUAAUUCAUGGUGUUACAGAUGGUUGUGAAAGGGAUUGCUAAAGACUUCACGAAUAAUGAAAAUAUCAACUUCGAGGAAAAUUGGCCCAAUAUACCCUCUCCGGUUUGAGUUUAAGGGUUUUGAUAUUUCAACUUUUUAUUCUAUAAAAUACUUUUUUAGUUUUGAGGUUUUGAGCACAUAAGUUUCUUGGGAUUGUGUUAUAGUACUCUUACUUGCUUACACUUGUUCACCAAUUACCGAAAAUAGAUAGCUGCAUGAUUUAGGAAUUAGACUAUUGAUAAUGAUUAUGCUGACUACGUCUGCUUCUAGAGAUUGAGAACGAGUGUCAAACAAAAGGAAAAAACUUGGAGAUGUUAAAGUUAUUUUGGAACUGCAUUAUUGAUAGUGAUUACACUGGCUACAUCUAAGUUCUGGUGAUAUACUAUGUUCGUUGCAGAACAAUUAGCAAUGCUCAUUACGCAACAAAAGACGCAACGACAGUGAAGUCGUUGCCAAAACCCUUUUGCAACGAAAUUUGGCACCUUUAGCAACAAAAAUUGGUUGUUGCUGAAGUCCCAUUUUUUUGUAGUGCAUUUACUCUAAGACCUCAUUCACGUGUAUUUCAAAAUGGCUAGCCUAUGUUCUUCAUUUUCUUCCAACUCCCAAGCUCAUGAUCAUGAGGGAGUGAUGAUUAUGAUGAGUUCCAACAAUCAAUCUAACAACUCCUCCAUAACCUUCAUGCAAUCCUACAAUCCAUGGGUUUGAUUCAAUGGAAAAUUUCUAUGUCUGUGUAUUGAUUUUUCUAUAAAUAAGAGCUCCUUCCAUUUUUCCAAGUGUUGAGAAUUGCUAAGUGAGAGUUGAGAGCAUACAAGUAAUCUAGAGCUUGAGAGUUCAUUAGGAGCAAGUUCAUUGUAAUUAUAAAGGUAUAAAAUUCCUUCUUAUUCUUCAUUUUCAGUUUCUGUUAAAUUUCCAUUCUUGAAAUUCAAAUUCUUGAUUUUGUGGAAUUGGUUGCUAAUGAGGUUGGGUAAUGUCCAUAUAGUUGUUAUAUGACCAUAUAAGCAUGAUGCAACUGAUAUAUGAUGGUUUAAAAUCGAAAUCAUGAGUAAUUUUUGAGGUUGGGCUGGAGUUCUGCCGAAGCAGACUGCUUCUGCGCCUGAAUCAGGCAUGACGCAGCUACGCCACAUUUGUAUUGAGGCGCAUCGCAACUGCGCCGGUUGCUGAAUUCAGUUGAGCAGUCAAUUUUCAAAUCUGAUCAAUAUUGGCUAGUUGUUUUGACUCAAGCUAGCAUGUAAGCAUGUGUAUGAUGUAUAUAUGGAUACGUUAACCUAAUGUGAGCAUGUUUAGACUAGACUUGCAUGAUUAACGAAGGCGUAUGAUUUACAUGGAGAUUUAGACUAAGUUUUGAAAACAAACUAUGUUAAAUAUCAUGUUCUACAAAUUGUGAACCUAGUAAGCUAUGCAUGACUAAUUUUGCACAUAGAUGAGUAUGUUGUAGUGUAUAUAGUUCUUUUGAGCAUGUUCAAACUUACUAAGCCUUAUGUUAGAAAUAUUUUCAAUAAGAAGCUUAGCCUAGUGAGCUAACAUGCAUGAUUUUUAAAUGGUUUAUAUUUUGACUUUGAAAGCAUGUGAGUAUGACUUGGAAAUGCAUGAAUAAACCUUUAGCUUAUUUUUAUUUGAUUAGUAAGGAAACAUGAGCAUGUUGAACCUAUUAGCAAAGCUUUGAAUGUGAAUAUUGUCAAGAUACCAUGAGGACUAAAAUCUGACAUUUGUGAUCAUGUUUGAUGACACUCUUAGACUCGCUCAUGUAGCAUAACCAUAUAUAUACCAUGUUUGUGUAGCACAUUUCAAGAAAAGCAUGAACGAAGCCUAUUUUCAACUAAAGCGGUGUUAGUUUCAUGUAUGUGUUAUAAAUACACACAAGCAUGCCUAAUAUGAGUUUUUUUUAAAUAUCUUGUAUGUUUAGAAAGCAAGCAUGCUAGACCUUGUGAAUUCAUGACUUUGAAUGGCCUUAAAUUGUUAAAAUGAGCAACUUAGAACCAUGUUAUGAAAGAAGGAACCUAGAUUGACUUAAGGAGCAUGAAAAGACCUUUAACAUGAUAAAUAUAUUAUGUGUUAUUGUUUUGGUUGAGCUGGAGAGAAACCACAAGGCAGCAGCUGAGUCUUGGAAUGACCAUAGGACGACGCAGCUGCGCCGGUCCUAGGCUUAGCCAUGGCGCAACUGCGCCAGUCUGGAAUCCCAGAUAGUGAAUUCUGACUUUUGGACAGCAACUUUCAUGAUGCCUAUGAUGCUAAAUGUGAUCUAAAACCUACUGAUGUAUAUAUAUAUGAGUGAUGCCUAGUUGAUAAUUCGGUGUUGCAUUGAAAUGAAAAGUCCAUGAGUAGGAGGUCUUAACCUUGAGCAUUCUUGAUUUGCUUGUGAAGUAACUAAGUAGUUGAUUCAUGAUGACUUAUAAACUGAUUUUGUACCAUAUGUGCAUACUUGUAUCGUGUCGAGCUUGAUUAAGGACGAUGUUAGCUAAUGAACACUGUAUAUUUAUAAUACGUUAUACUAGGAUUCUAAAGUGUUGAUUUAUUAACGUGGAUAAACUACGCUUAAGGCAAGUUUCUCUAACAUUACUCAAAUUUAUAUUGAGCAAGUAUCCGAACCUUACUCUUAUUGUGCAAGUAUAAUUACAUUCUUUAUUCGACAAAUACCGUAAGCUUAUCCCUUUGAAUACAAGUUAUAUUACUUUCUCGUUCAAAUGAGCUAGUAUUUUAAACCCUUAUGAAAGCUGUUAUUCAUGUUGAACUUGGUAUUGUCCAUUGAAUAUUGUGAAAGAGUCGAUGUCAUUUGAUUCGGCUAGACUAUAUGCAUGUUUAUAAAAAAAAACUGUCCAAACCAAUUAAGUGGUGCGAAAAUCUUGAAAACUAAGUUGAACAACCCCUUUGGUAAAGGGAGUGUAUGUCGUUGGAAACCCCAACACAUGAAUGAAUAUUAUUGUGGUGUUAUGCAUAACGUAUAGUAUUGUAGAUUGAUCAUCUAUAGUACUUGAUAUUUUAAGGUUAUCAGUUUAAUAUUGGUAACUCUAGUGGAAGUUCAAUAGUCCUUAGUGACUGCUCAGUAUAAAUUGUUAUCCAGUUGGAUACCUUGAUAGUCGUUGAAUUCAUAUAUAUUUGUUGAUUUAUAUUGAAUUAUCGUUCUUAUUCAAAGAAUUGUUGAUAUUUCUUACCCAUGAUGUUAUUCUGAUACUUUGAACUAUCCUAGAAAUGGCACUCCGAUAUUUCAAACCUUAUGAUAUUAUAUCCUAUACCCUUGUUGUAUAUUACUUGUUGGACAAUUUGUGCUCAUCCUUGCUUUUAAAAAAACCUUUCAGUUAAGGCAGAACAGGGAAGUGUAUCCGGGCAGGACAAGGGCAAGGGCAAGGCUACCGACUAGCUUGUCCUUUUUAUGUUCAAAGUCUAUUAUGUUGUAUUAAGACUAUUUCAGACUAUGUUUAAGCUUAAGUAGGAUCAUGUAAUAAGUCUUUAUUAGAUAUUAUUAUGUAAUCUAUUAAGCACUGUAGGUUACGAGACUUGGGGGAAUAAUUAUAAUAAAUUAUUGUAUAUUAUUUUAAAGUAGAUUUUUCGUUGUGUAUGCGUUAUUUUAGAUAUUGUGGUUUUACCAUGAGAACGUGAUGAACCGAAUUUGAGGGACCAAGUGGAGGUCCGAAUUUGGGGGUGUCACAGGUUGGUAUCAAAGCUAUAGUUAUAAACUUUAGGAACGAGAGUCCUUAGAUUAUAACUUAAGAAAACUUAGAGGUUAGGAAGGGAUAAAAAUCACGUAGAGUUUUCCCAAAGAGACUUAACGUGUUAUGAAAUGUAACUUCAUUCUAUACAAUGAACUUAUGUUUAUUUAACAUUCUGAUGGAGUUGUUUUUUGUCUUGUCUUAUGUUGGUGAUUGUAG